rnacentral:rRNA from 1 species
UGGGGAAUUGUUCACAAUGGGCGCAAGCCUGAUGACGCAACGCCGCGUGGGGGAUGAAGGUCUUCGGAUCGUAAACCCCUGUCGAAUGGGACGAAAGACUCGCGAGUGAAUACUUCGCGAGAGUGACGGUACCGUUAAAGGAAGCCACGGCUAACUCUGUGCCAGCAGCCGCGGUAAUACAGAGGUGGCAAGCGUUGUUCGGAAUUACUGGGCGUAAAGGGCGCGUAGGCGGCCCUCUAAGUCAGACGUGAAAUCCCCCGGCUUAACCUGGGAACUGCGUCUGAUACUGGAGGGCUUGAGUAUGGGAGAGGGAUGUAGAAUUCCAGGUGUAGCAGUGAAAUGCGUAGAGAUCUGGAGGAACACCGAUGGCGAAGGCAGCCCCCUGGGCUAACACUGACGCUCAUGCACGAAAGCGUGGGGAGCAAACAGGAUUAGAUACCCCUGUAGUCCCUGAGCGGGCUGGCAAGGCGCAU